rnacentral:rRNA from 1 species
UAGGGAAUCUUCCGCAAUGGGCGAAAGCUUGACGGAGCAACGCCGCGUGAGUGAUGAAGGUCUUCGGAUCGUAAAACUCUGUUAUUAGGGAAGAACAAAUGUGUAAGUAACUAUGCACGUCUUGACGGUACCUAAUCAGAAAGCCACGGCUAACUACGUGCCAGCAGCCGCGGUAAUACGUAGGUGGCAAGCGUUAUCCGGAAUUAUUGGGCGUAAAGCGCGCGUAGGCGGUUUUUUAAGUCUGAUGUGAAAGCCCACGGCUCAACCGUGGAGGGUCAUUGGAAACUGGAAAACUUGAGUGCAGAAGAGGAAAGUGGAAUUCCAUGUGUAGCGGUGAAAUGCGCAGAGAUAUGGAGGAACACCAGUGGCGAAGGCGACUUUCUGGUCUGUAACUGACGCUGAUGUGCGAAAGCGUGGGGAUCAAACAGGA